rnacentral:rRNA from 1 species
CCUACGGGUGGCAGCAGUGAGGAAUAUUGGGCAAUGGGCGCGAGCCUGAAGCAGCCAAGCAGCGUGAAGGAUGAAUGCCCUCCGGGUUGUAACCUUUUUUUAUAGGGGAAUAAAGUGAGUCACGUGUGCCUUUUUGUAUGUACUUUAUGAGUAAGGAUCGCAUAACUCCGUUCCAGCAGCCGCGGUAAUACGGAGGAUCCGAGCGUUAUGCGGAUUGAAUGGGGUUAACGGGAGCGUAGAUGGGUUGUUAAGUCAGUUGUGAAAGUCUGCGGCUCAACCGGAAAAUUGCAAUUGAUACUGGCAGUCUUGAGUACAGUAGAGGUAGGUGGAAUUCGAGGUGUAGCGGUGAAAUGCUUAGAUAUCACGAAGAACACCGAUGGCGAAGGCAGCUAACUAAACUGUCACUGACAUUGAUGCUCGAAAGCGUGGGUAGCAAACAGGAUUAGAUACCCCUGUAGUC